rnacentral:lncRNA from 1 species
AACGUCUUCCUGAUCUAAAAUGGUUAAAUAAGGAAUGAGCUACACCAGCCCAGUAAAGACAUCACACUAUCUCACCGCCACGGAAGUAAAGGUGGGUAGAAAAUAAAAAUGACCAAUGGAGCAUAAUUUAUAACAAACUCGUUUAUUAACAUAAAAACCUUUACUGUCCACUUACCUCGGUGAGAUCCAUGAAAACAACAUAUGAAAGCAAUAACAUUAUUAUCAUCAUGAAAUCAUAUAGACUUUAUAACAUAACACUUACCAUGCCUUUGCAUUUCAAUCAUUAAACAACAUAUUUUCCUCUUUUACCAGCCUACUAGUAUCCAUGGGGAUCCAUAGGGGGUCCCCGCUACCCGUGAACUAUUAACAUUAC